rnacentral:antisense_RNA from 1 species
CUUAAGUCACCAGUGCUAUUACACAUGACAUUGGGAAAACUGAGGCUUCCAUUAGCCCUGCAGGGACACAGUUGUGAUCUUCACACCUAGCCAUCUUCUCUACUGUUUUGAAAAAUUAUUGCAGAAGUUUUCAAACAUGCAAAAGGAUAUAAUAUAGUGAACACCUAGACCCAUCACUCAGCACCUCACUGGAAGUUACCAAGACUGUAAUCUGCUACUUUUCCCUACCCCGCCCUCCAUUUUUUUUCUUUUACUUUUCUCUUUUUUUUGAGACAGAGUCUCACUCUGUUGCUCAAAUUAGAGUGCAGGAGUGCAAUUCCAGCCUGGGCAACAAGAGCAAAACUCCAUCUCAAUCAAUCAAUCAAUCAAUAACAAAUCUCAGACCACAUGUCGUUUUAGCCUAUUUCAGUUUGCAUUUCAAUCCGGGUUUCAAUCCGGAUCUAACCAAGAUCCACACAUUCAUCUGAUAGCGCCAUCUCUUAAAUCUCUUCUCAUCAAGAGUACCUGACU